rnacentral:lncRNA from 1 species
AGGGAACCUAGUCCCCGCGCGGCCCACGCUCCCCGGCCCAGCGCCCGCGUUCUGGAGCGCGGGCAGCGGAGGUGGCCCGGCCGGCGCGCCCCGGGCGCCGCGGCCGGUGCUCCCGGAGGAAACCCAGCUGGCGCUCCGCGCGACCCCAUAGAACGGAUCAAAAUAAAGGCACAAGCGUACCCGGGCCGCGCCGUCCUCGCCGGCCCGCGCCGCCCUCCUGGGCUUCCGAGGCCCGGUGAGCGCGGGCCGCGGCGCUGGCUGCCCCGGAACCUCGUAAGUCGCUGCCCAGGGCGAGGGCGCAGGAGGGAGCCCGGGAACGUCCCGCGGGACAAGACAGGGCGAGGCGAGGCGCCCUCGGGAGGUCGUGGGCGCCGGGGACCGGCCGGUGGAGAGGAGCCCCGGAGCCGAACUGUCCGCGCCGCGCGCCCGCAACGGCGGCCCCCGCGCUCGCGCGCUCCCGCCCGGAGCCACCAGCGCGAGUGGCAGCUCCCGCCUGGGCCGCAUCCCGCCUCGAGUUCCUGCCGUUGCCCACUCGGGGCGCGCCCGGCCCCUGCGCCCCAGUCCCGAGGCCGCGCGAUGGGCGCCCUGCGCCUGGCCCGGCUGAAUGGGCCGGGGCCGGCUGGCUGCAGACCCGAGUCGAGGAGUGGCCACCUUGGCAAGGGCUGUUGUAAAAUGUCCCUUUGCUUAGGAGGUUGGUUGAAGGCCUUUCACUUGGGCCUGCACAAAUGUCUGAUGGCUAACCGUUUGAGCGACCUUUCACGUGUGAAGGCAAAAAAGCCACCCUGGGAUGGACUAAGGCAGCCGUCUUCCGAGUGUGCGCCUGGAGAUCAGCCUGGACAUUUACGCAUGCCCAGACCUGGCGCUUGGCGUCAGUUCACCGCUCACCUUUCCCCUCACUUGCCACCCCUGCUGCUUCAUCCCGUGUGUGUCCCCAAACUCUAACUCUGGAGGGUGGAUUUGAGCCUGGGGCCCCUUCCUCCACACACUUGGACGCCUCCGGAAUGAACUCUGCAAAUUGAUGGCUUUAGAAUUGGCAUGCUGGGCGACAGGCAGAACAAGGCUGGAGUGGUCACCAAACUUAUAAAACAGAGAGUUAAUAAAAUAAAAAAAUUUUGAGAAAACUAUUUCUGAAAAUAGAUAAAUAUAGAAUAGUUUAACAUAGACCACAAUAUUUUGACCUCGGUUUUUUUUCCCCAAAUAGCAUAUUAAGCAUCGAAUAAAUAAUUCGCACCUUGUCAAAUUCACCACAAUAAACAAGAUUUUUUUUUUCAGUGCUGGGUAUGGAACCCAGGACCUUGUGAAUUCUAGGCAAGCACACAUAACCCUGAGCUACAACAUAGCCUAGGCCUGUAAUAUUUUUUAUCCCAGUGUACAAUAAGGAAGCCAUGAAAAUCCCCUCCUUUCCAAUAAGAAAUGGUAUUUGAGAGCCCCAGAAGAUGAAGCCCAGAGGCAAGUCUUAUAUUUUAACCAUGUUUACAAAUAUAUAUAUAUAUAUAUAUAUAUAUAUAUAUAUAUAUAUAUAUAUAUUUAUAUAUUUAUAUAUUUAUAUAUAUAUAUAUAUAUAUUUGCCUGUGUCCUUUCAAUGAACCCUGGAGGGAAAUGACACCGCCUCAGCAGGCACUGAGCCUUUCUAACUCUGGGCACUAUGGACAAGAAGAGCUUCAACUGAGUGUACAACAAGGGAGAGAUCUUGGGGAGCCAUUUAGAAUUCUCUCCACCACCCGCGGUAUUCGACCUUCAUUUCAAGAGAUAACACAAAGCCUGGAGAAGUCUCAAGGUCUCUCUCAGAGUAGCCCUGUACCUGAAUGUACAUGGUACUGAACUCUUCAUAGAACAUCACCAGAAAAUCAAACAAGAAAUCUAAACAAAGGGAGUACUAUUCAGCUGUAAAGAAGAAUGAAAUCCUGUCAUCUGCAGCAGCAUGGAUGGAACUGGAAGAUAUCAAGUUACACGAAAUAAGCCAGACACAGAAAGAGAGUGCAUCCUGUUCUCAGGUGAAAGAUAAACAAAGUAGACCUGAAUGUAGAAUAGUGACCUCUAGGCACUGGGAAGGAGGUAGGUGGAUAAAGAGAGGAUUGGUUUUAUCAGGCACCUUGUAUGCAUGUGUGAAAAUAUCACACUGAAUGCACACAAUUAAUGCAGGUUGAUCAAAGCUAAAUAAAAAAAAUAUAUAUAUUAAAAAGAUACCUAAACCAAGUUAUGCAGGGGAAGGGGAAAUAGGAUUUGUGCAAAAAAAAAAAAAAAAGAAUGUAAAGAGAAAGAUAUAAAAGCAGAUGAGAGCUAUCAGAAGGAAAGUUAUAGAGAAUCCAGUUUUAAUGUGAAAUAUUAUUUCUAGUCUGUUUUUUUUAAAGAGAGAAUUUUUUAAUAUUUAUUUUUUAGUUUUCAGGGACACAACAUCUUUGCUUGUAUGUGGUGCUGAGGAUCGAACCCAGUGCCCUGCACAUGCCAGGCAAGCGCUUUACCACUUGAGCCACAUCCCCAGCCCUCUAGUCUGUUUUAUAAAGCUUAAUGUGACAUUGAGUUCUUGCUUAAGAUGGUGAAAGAUCUUCCAGGAACUGUUUUCCUCAACUUUGCAUUUCAAAUUUUGUUUUGCUACUUAGACCUUUGCAACUUUUUUCUUAGGGUCAAAGUGUACCUACUCCAUCCAUCUUCCCUCCCUCCAAGUAGUGCUUGCAGUGUGAUCCCAGUGAAUUACAGAGAACUGCGGGGUGGGGUGGGGGGUGGCCCAAGAUCGAUUAUGGUCAAUGUGCGAUGAGAUGUGGAAGGACAUCUUACGUUAGUCAUUGUAAUUUGCAGAUUACUGUCCUGCCUCAUGUGUCCGACAUAAGGACAAUCAGAUCUGAGACUCUGAAGAGGCCCAGGCUUCACACUUAGUUGCACUAGCACCACCAACUGCAAUAGAUUCACACUCAGAAUGUCUUGAAUGUCUUCAAAACAGUAAGACAUAUUAAGUGGUUGCAAAGAUUCUGGUUUAGGAAACUUUGGUUUAGAUACUUCUAAGGCUCAUUACUUGGGGGUGGCUUGUUUUUUUCCGCUUUUUGGGAGAAUUACUCUCUCAAGAUUUUGUUCUUCAUAUUUUUGGUUCAAGGCAGAAUCCAUAGUUCAAAUUAUUAAAAAUGACUCAGUAAGAUGUUCUUUUUCUUUUCGUUUUUUAAUAUGGAUCAAGGGCCAUUUAUCUGUAAGUACUAUGGACUGAGCAACUAGGUAUCAAAACCAAACCCCACGGACAUUGCUUGGAACAAGACAGCUCACAAGACAUCAAAGGUGUAUCUCCAUGAAGGCCCAACAUAUAAAGGGGUGGGAUGAACCACAGAACGCUAUGAGGCUUUCGAGCUAUCAGCCUGUGCAGGUAGGAACAGGGAAUAGAGCUACACUUUCCACGCACCUGAAGACAGGAGACCUGAAAGCAUCAGAUUGCCCCAGGUUGGAGAAC